rnacentral:rRNA from 2 species
CCACUUUCCUCCUGGAUUAGUGGCGAACGGGUGAGUAACACGUGAGUAACCUGCCCUUGACUCUGGGAUAAGCCUGGGAAACUGGGUCUAAUACCGGAUAUGACCUUCCAUCGCAUGGUGGUUGGUGGAAAGCUUUUGUGGUUUUGGAUGGACUCGCGGCCUAUCAGCUUGUUGGUGGGGUAAUGGCCUACCAAGGCGACGACGGGUAGCCGGCCUGAGAGGGUGACCGGCCACACUGGGACUGAGACACGGCCCAGACUCCUACGGGAGGCAGCAGUGGGGAAUAUUGCACAAUGGGCGCAAGCCUGAUGCAGCGACGCCGCGUGAGGGAUGACGGCCUUCGGGUUGUAAACCUCUUUCAGUAGGGAAGAAGCGUAAGUGACGGUACCUGCAGAAGAAGCGCCGGCUAACUACGUGCCAGCAGCCGCGGUAAUACGUAGGGCGCAAGCGUUAUCCGGAAUUAUUGGGCGUAAAGAGCUCGUAGGCGGUUUGUCGCGUCUGCCGUGAAAGUCCGGGGCUCAACUCCGGAUCUGCGGUGGGUACGGGCAGACUAGAGUGAUGUAGGGGAGACUGGAAUUCCUGGUGUAGCGGUGAAAUGCGCAGAUAUCAGGAGGAACACCGAUGGCGAAGGCAGGUCUCUGGGCAUUAACUGACGCUGAGGAGCGAAAGCAUGGGGAGCGAACAGGAUUAGAUACCCUGGUAGUCCAUGCCGUAAACGUUGGGCACUAGGUGUGGGGGACAUUCCACGUUUUCCGCGCCGUAGCUAACGCAUUAAGUGCCCCGCCUGGGGAGUACGGCCGCAAGGCUAAAACUCAAAGGAAUUGACGGGGGCCCGCACAAGCGGCGGAGCAUGCGGAUUAAUUCGAUGCAACGCGAAGAACCUUACCAAGGCUUGACAUGAACCGGAAAGAUCUGGAAACAGGUCCCCCACUUGUGGUCGGUUUACAGGUGGUGCAUGGUUGUCGUCAGCUCGUGUCGUGAGAUGUUGGGUUAAGUCCCGCAACGAGCGCAACCCUCGUUCUAUGUUGCCAGCACGUGAUGGUGGGGACUCAUAGGAGACUGCCGGGGUCAACUCGGAGGAAGGUGGGGACGACGUCAAAUCAUCAUGCCCCUUAUGUCUUGGGCUUCACGCAUGCUACAAUGGCCGGUACAAAGGGUUGCGAUACUGUGAGGUGGAGCUAAUCCCAAAAAGCCGGUCUCAGUUCGGAUUGGGGUCUGCAACUCGACCCCAUGAAGUCGGAGUCGCUAGUAAUCGCAGAUCAGCAACGCUGCGGUGAAUACGUUCCCGGGCCUUGUACACACCGCCCGUCAAGUCACGAAAGUUGGUAACACCCGAAGCCGGUGGCCUGUCCUA